rnacentral:rRNA from 1 species
CGGUGUUCAACUGGCGUGUCCGCGGGACGUCCUGCCGGUGGGCUUAGCCCGCAAGGGCGGCCCAACUUCAAAUCCCAUCGCGGUGCUCUUCACUGAGUGUCGAGGUGGGCCGGCACGUUUACUUUGAACAAAUUAGAGUGCUUAAAGCAGGCUAAAACUUCGCCUGAAUACUGUGUGCAUGGAAUAAUGGAAUAGGACCUCGGUUCUAUUUUGUUGGUUUUCGGAACCCCGAGGUAAUGAUUAAUAGGAACGGAUGGGGGCAUUCGUAUUGCGACGUUAGAGGUGAAAUUCUUGGAUCGUCGCAAGACGGACAGAAGCGAAAGCAUUUGCCAAAAACGCUUUCAUUGAUCAAGAACGAAAGUUAGAGGUUCGAAGGCGAUCAGAUACCGCCCUAGUUCUAACCAUAAACGAUGCCAGCUAGCGAUCCGUCGACGUUCCUCCGAUGACUCGACGGGCAGCUUCCGGGAAACCAAAGCUUUUGGGUUCCGGGGGAAGUAUGGUUGCAAAGCUGAAACUUAAAGGAAUUGACGGAAGGGCACCACCAGGAGUGGAGCCUGCGGCUUAAUUUGACUCAACACGGGAAACCUCACCAGGCCCGGACACCGGAAGGAUUGACAGAUUGAGAGCUCUUUCUUGAUUCGGUGGGUGGUGGUGCAUGGCCGUUCUUAGUUGGUGGAGCGAUUUGUCUGGUUAAUUCCGAUAACGAACGAGACUCUAGCCUGCUAACUAGGCGUAUUUUCGACAUCUCAAAGGUCCGUCGUCCCGGCCCUCGGGUCGUGGGCGUGCGCGAUUUUUACUGUCGGCGUACUAUCAAUUCUUCUUAGAGGGACAGGUGGCUUCUAGCCGCACGACGAUUGAGCAAUAACAGGUCUGUGAUG